rnacentral:rRNA from 1 species
GACGAACCGUGCGAACGUUGUUCGGAAUCACUGGGCUUAAAGGGCGCGUAGGCGGCCUGCCGAGUCCGGGGUGAAAGCCCCCGGCCCAACCGGGGAAGUGCCUGGGAUACUGGCGGGCUCGAGGGGGGUAGGGGCGGGCGGAACUUCCGGUGGAGCGGUGAAAUGCGUUGAUAUCGGAAGGAACGCCGGCGGCGAAAGCGGCCCGCUGGACCCUCUCUGACGCUGAGGCGCGAAAGCCAGGGGAGCAAACGGGAUUAGAUACCCCAGUAGUCC